GACGUGGCGCAGUGGUAGUGCGUCUGCCUGAGACGCAGAAGGUUCCGGGUUCUAUUCCCGGCGGGUCA